rnacentral:rRNA from 1 species
CCUACGGGAGGCAGCAGUGAGGAAUAUUGGUCAAUGGACGAGAGUCUGAACCAGCCAAGUAGCGUGAAGGAUGACUGCCCUAUGGGUUGUAAACUUCUUUUAUAAAGGAAUAAAACGAGGCACGUGUGCCUUUUUGCAUGUACUUUAUGAAUAAGGAUCGGCUAACUCCGUGCCAGCAGCCGCGGUAAUACGGAGGAUCCGAGCGUUAUCCGGAUUUAUUGGGUUUAAAGGGAGCGUAGAUGGGUUGUUAAGUCAGUUGUGAAAGUUUGCGGCUCAACCGUAAAAUUGCAAUUGAUACUGGCAGUCGUGAGUACAGUCGAGGUAAGCGGAAUUCGUGGUGUAGCGGUGAAAUGCUUAGAUAUCACGAAGAACCCCGAUUGCGAAGGCAGCUUACUAAACUGUGACUGACAUUGAUGCUCGAAAGUGUGGGUAUCAAACAGGAUUAGAUACCCCAGUAGUC